GUCCCUUAUCCGAAGCGAAGGGAAGACAUUCAGGUGUUUCCCUCUGAGGGUCUGAGUAUUCCCAGGUGGCAUGGGUGAUGCUGGCUGUUCCUUUCGAGCUUGGAUCUAACUUCCAGGCUGAAACGCAGUGUGCAGUACAGGACAUCAAGACCCGAGCUAUCUCUGGAG